AACGAACGCUGGCGGCAUGCCUAACACAUGCAAGUCGAACGAGACCUUCGGGACAAGUUGCGCACGGGGGCGGAACGUGGGGGAACGGUGCGGUAGGCACGGGAUAAUUCUCUUAAGGGGGGGCUAAUGCCGGAAAACGUCCGCUGAUCCAAGAUUCAACCCGCUUGGAUGGGCCGGCGUUGUUCUAGCCAGGUGGUAGUGUAAAAGCCUACCAAGGAUACGAUCCAUAGCUGGUCUGAGAGGCUGAUCCGCCACUCUGGGACUGAGACGCGGCCCGGACUCUUACGGGAGGCAGCAGUGGGGAAUAUUGGACUAUGGGCUGAAGCAUGAUCGCGCUCUGCUGCGUGAGUGAUGAAGGCCGUAGGGUUGUAAAGCUCUUUUACCCGGGAUGAUACUGACGGUACCCGGAGAAUAAGCUCCGGCUAACUCCGUG
rnacentral:rRNA from 1 species